rnacentral:rRNA from 1 species
GACGUAGGGGGCCAGCGUUGUUCGGAAUUACUGGGCGUAAAGCGUGCGCAGGCGGUUUUGUAAGCCAGAUGUGAAAUCCCCGGGCUUAACCUGGGAAUGGCAUUUGGGACUGCAAGGCUGGAGUGUGGCAGAGGAGACUGGAAUUCCCGGUGUAGCAGUGAAAUGCGUAGAUAUCGGGAGGAAUACCGAUGGCGAAGGCAGCUCGCUGGGACGUUACUGACGCUGAGACGCGAAAGCGUGGGGAGCAAACAGG